GGCUCCUUGUAAAUUCAAUAAAUAGGGAGUCGGACCUGCCCAGUGAAUUUUUUUAACGGCCGCGGUACUCUGACCGUGCAAAGGUAGCAUAAUCAUUUGCCUUAUAAUUGGAGGCUAGUAUGAAUGGUUUGACAAGAAUAUAGCUGUCUCUUUAUAACUUUAUAGAAUUUUAUUUUAAAGUGAAGAAGCUUUAAUAUAAUUAAAAGACAAGAAGACCCUAUCGAGCUUUAAAAAAAUCUUUAGAAAUUAAUUAAUAAAUGAUCUUAAAAAAUCAGCUAUUGAAUAUUUUGGUUGGGGCGACUAAGGAACAGAAAAAGCUUCCUUAAAUAAUUAAUGACAUUCAUGUAUUGAUCCAAAAUUUUUGAUUAAAGAAUAUAGUUACCGUAGGGAUAACAGCAUUAUCUUUUUUGAGAGUUCUUAUCGAAAAAAAGGUUUGUGACCUCGAUGUUGGACCAGAAUAUCCUAAAGAUGCAGAAGUCUUUAAGGGUUGGUCUGUUCGACCAUUAAAAUUCU
rnacentral:rRNA from 1 species